GUGGGGAAUCUUGCGCAAUGGGCGAAAGCCUGACGCAGCAACGCCGCGUGUGUGAUGAAGGUCUUCGGAUCGUAAAGCACUGUCGGGAGGGACGAAUAAGGCGGCGGCUAACAUCCGCAGCUGAUGACGGUACCUCCAAAGGAAGCACCGGCUAACUCUGUGCCAGCAGCCGCGGUAAUACAGAGGGUGCAAGCGUUGUUCGGAAUUAUUGGGCGUAAAGCGCGUGUAGGCGGCCAACCAAGUCGGGUGUGAAAGCCCUCGGCUCAACCGAGGAAGUGCGCCCGAAACUAGCUGGCUUGAGUACCAGAGAGGGUGGCGGAAUUCCCGGUGUAGAGGUGAAAUUCGUAGAUAUCGGGAGGAACACCAGCGGCGAAGGCGGCCACCUGGAUGGAUACUGACGCUGAGACGCGAAAGCGUGGGGAGCAAACAGGAUUAGAAACCCCGGUAGUCC
rnacentral:rRNA from 1 species